UGAGGAUGGUGCACCUGUUAACCGCGACGCUUGUUCAUGCGUUCAACUGGGAGUUGCCGGAAGGCCAGGUGGCGGAGAAGCUGAACAUGGAUGAGGCAUAUGGGCUGACCCUACAACGAGCCGCCCCACUCAUGGUGCACCCACGGCCAAGGCUGUCACCCCAAGUUUUCGGGAAGUAAAUGAGGUUGUUUGCCCAUGAUUAAAAUAGAAGACUUGGUGAUGGAUUUGGCUGAAUAAUUAUGAUGUUCGAGAGCGAGUUUAGUAGUUUUGUGAUGGGUUUUCCCUCAACCACCUGCAUGUUAAUACUGUAAACGAUGAUUCUCAAGGGGUAUCUAAUAAUGCAAUAUGUUGGUUUAAAAUUUAAAAUAUUUACUUCACAAUAUCGAGCGUAGGAGAAGAAACUAGAAAGUCAUAUGAUGAAUAAUGUCCCCAAAACUCAAACAGAGAUCAUCACAAUCUAAAGAGUCGUGCAAGGCGGCGAGUGUACCAACUACCAAUAAAAGCACGAAAGCUGAACAAGGAGUAGCUUCAUCUGUCAUCUGACCAACCAGCCUCCUCACAAAAUACCAUAUUCCAAGUCAAAGGUAGUAUAUAUGAUUUAUUGGACGAGAAGUUGAGGCUCCAAACAUCUUUAAUACAGCACCUUUCAAACAAGAUACUUGAAAAUGUACAAAAUCACCUCAUCUCGAAACCAGGAUUAUAAAAGAAGACGACCUCCCGGACCUAUCAGAUGACCUGAUCGUACAAAAUCACCUCAUCCCGAAACCAAGACUAUAAAAGAAGACGACAUCCCGUACCUAUAAUAUGACCUAAUUGACCGACAUGUGUCUAAAAAGACGAGUCCAAUUACCCUUAUCCCCUUUAUCCUUAUAUGCACAAAAGUCAAUAAAGCCUACCGUAAAAAGUGUGCUGAAACAACUCCUUCAUAAAGAAAGUAACUUUAAAAGAGAAGUCUCUUCCUCCUUAAGGGCUCUCUCUCUCUCUCUCCAUCUUAAAGAAGAGAAAAUGUAUCUUUGUAUCCAAAAUGAUUGAAUAAAAUAUCUAAUAUGUUUCUUGAAGAAUUUUAGCAUAUUGAAGAAGUAUCAUAACUCCUAAUAGAUUUAAUUAUCACUAAAAUUAUUGAAAUAAAACCUCUAGAUGUGUUGUGAUCAUGAAUGCUUAAAUACAGUAAUUUUUAUUUAUUUUUAAAAUAAAUAAUAAAUUAAUUAAUUUAAUCUUAUAUAUUCUCUAGAUCAUGUGGUAUCUUUUAAUUUUUUAAUAUUAAUUUUUUUACAAAUUAAUUAUCAAAUUUAUAAAAACCCCAUGAAUAAUUGACUAAAUCGAUUCUUCCCUAACUUUCAAUAUCUUUCAUAAAUAGGUAAUUUUUUAAAAUAUUAAAGAGUAGCGUGGAAACUAAUUAUUAAUCUAAUUACGAUAUUAAAUAAAUAAAAAUUAGAUAUUUUUGAAAUUCAUGUACUAUAUAGUUAUUUUUUCAUAAAUAAAUUCUUAUUUGUAAUUAAUAAUUUACAUUAAUAAAAAUUUAUAACAUUACUUAUAUCAUCGUAAUAAAUUUAAAAAAUGUGGACUUUGUUGAGGCCUCGCGUCCGUGGUAAUCCAUGUAGUUGCCAAAUGGAUGGACGCACGAUCUCAACCAAUAUAGAUUUCUGGUUUAGUCGUUCCUGCAAAAGGCGUCUGGACAGGGUGUCUGGAUACACCCUCCGAUGGUAUUGUCAGCCAUGGUCCAAGAGAUAAAUCAGUUGGCCUUUUACUAGGUAUAUCAAAACUUACCUUCCUCUUUGUGCGAAGGUCCAUAUAUAUCGUCUCAGAAGCUCUAUCUCCCUCUUUAAUGAUAGAGAGAUAUUUUGGCUUGUCAUGAUGUCUCUAGGUGGUGACAGGGUCAUCAUCACUCGUAGGGCGGCUGACAAAGAUCGUGGGAGGCGCCGCAGCUGUCAGAGAUCGUAGGAAGUGACUUGCCAUCAUUCCUGUCCUUUCACUCUGCAGGUGGCGGAACGUGGGCCGUGAAAGACUGUCGGAAUGACGUAGUAAGACUUGCUUACUUUAGUCAACGAUCCGGACAAACAUAUCCGGAUAGGAUAUGUCAGUCGUUCGGAUGUGAUAUGACGAUCGUCCGGAUGUGAUGUUUGCGAGUGUCAUGUGCUUCUCCCUGAGGAAGUCCGGAUAUGAGAAGCGCGUCACGUGUCUCCUUUGGGGGAAAUCCGGAUGGAGCUAAUCCGGAUAGAAAUGUGUGCCACUUGUCAUCAGGGGGAGGGGUCCCUACAGACUUGUCGUUCAUUUCUUUCUCUCUCAAUAUAUUAUUAAAUACAUAAAUUAAUAAUAUUUAUUAAAAUGAUAUUUGCAAGUUGGGGGUGGGAUGAGAACUAUUAAAUACAUAAAUUAAUAAUAUUUAUUAAAAUGAUAUUUGCAAGUAGGGGAUGGGAUGAGAACUCGUGUUGGGAUUUUUGAUCCUAAACGUCUAAUUGAAGGGAUUUUGAAAAAAAAUAUUUAUUAAAGUAUAUCAAUUUUAAAACCAUUUUCAAAUCUACUAUAUUUUUUAUAAUAUCAAUUAAAAAUUAUCUUUUUAUAAAACACCAACUUUAAAUCAAAUAUGAAAAUUAUUUUGUGAAAAAUUAAUUUUAAAAUUCAACUAAGUUUUCUCUUCAGAAAACAACUUUUACUUUAAGUUUUUGAAAGUACUAUACAUUUGGAAGUAGUUUCAAAAGUGUGAUAUUUUAAUAAAUAUUUUUUAAAAUUGCAAUAUUUUUUUCAAAAUCUUGACACUUAAGAUAGAGUGGGCAAGCAUGGGAAAAAAAUUUACAUACACUCAAAUUUAUGUCUUAGACUAGGAACUGAAAAAUUGUGGGGCAUAUGGAUAAUACAAAAACAAUUAUCUUACUUAGAGUUACUUAUUAUUACUUAUUAUUACUUAUGCAUUAAUUAAAAGGAAAGUGUUAAGGUAUCCAAAUGCUACAUAUAGAACUUCAAAUUCGGACUAAAUUGAAUAUAUAUAUAUAUAAUGAUAUUUAAGUAAUGAAAAUUCAAACAACUAGGAUUAUGGUAUAAGAAUAGGAAUAAAUGAGAUUAUGAUACAAAUAAUAACAUUUGAAAAUGUAUACCUAAGAUCAUUUUAUUGAGUUUUUUCAUACAUUUAUUUGAGCUUAGGAUUGCAGAUGGUGCAUGUUGGGAAGUGUCACAAAUUCCUAAUUAGUAAAGAUUGAGAGAUAUUCAAUGGAACGAGAUGACUCGUGGUUCAAGGUGUAAAUAUAAAGAGUGAAAAUAUAUUUUGAGAACCUAAUAAUUAUAUUUGGUUUUGUCCUCUAUAAUGUUCUCUGUGAUAUAAUGAAAAGAUUUUCUCUCGUCCGUGAAUAUAGGUAUGAUUGAUCAAAUCACGUUAAAACCUCAUUGUAGCCUACUCUCUACGGUGAAUGGUUUGUUUUUGUUUUUUGUUUUUAUUUAUUUAUUUAUUAUUUUGUUCUUCUGACCACCCGGAAUCAUUAAAACCUCGUUGUAGCGCCCCUGCCUCCUGUGAAAGGGUUUGUUUUUGUUUCUAUUUUUUUUUUUUUUUUUUUUGUUAUUCUGAUCACCUCGGAAUUAAGCUGAUGGGGCGACCAAAUACGAAAGGGGAGAGAGAGAGGGAGUUUUGGGCAAACAUGAUUCCGAAAUUCACGGAAUCAUUAUUCUUAUUUUAAAGUCUUGGGCGACGGUGAAUAACUUUUUAAAAUUUCCUAAAAUUUUAAAGUCUCAAAUUUAUUUAUUUAUUUUAAAAAUACCAUUCUCAAAAUAAUUUUCUAAAAUUUGAUUUUAAAAAUUUAGUUUUCAAAACUUUAAUUCUCGAAAUUCACUCUUCUAAAACUCCAUUUUUUAAAAUUUAAUCAUUUAAAAUUCAAUUCUUGAAAUAAUUUUCUAGAAUUCUAAUUUUAAAUUUAAUUUUCCAAGAUUCAAAUUUUUAAAAUUUAAUUUUCCGAAAUUUCCACAAUCCCGAAUUUAAUUUUUUAUUUUUUAUUUUUUUAUGUCACAUUCAAAUAAAUUUUCGAAACUCCAAUUCCUUUUUAUUCAUUUACUUAUUGAUUUUUAAAAUUCCAUCUUUUAAAUAACUCUUCAAAAUUCUGUUUUUAAAAUUUAAUUCCAAUUUCCAAAAUUCCAAUUUUCGUAUCAAUUUAUUUAAUCAUUAUCACUUUAUUCAUUCAUUUAUUUGUUUAUUUUUUUAAAAUUCAAUUUUUAAAUAACUCUUCAAAAUUUCAUUUUUUAAAAUUUAAUUCCAAUUUCCGAAAUUCCAAUUUUCGUAUCAAUUUAUUUAAUCAUUAUCACUUUAUUCGUUUAUUCAUUUGUUUAUCUUUAAAAUUCAAUCUUUAACUCUUCAAAAUUUCGAUUUCUGAAUUUAAUUCAAAUUUCCAAAAUUCUAGUUUUCUUAUCGAUUUAUUUAAUCACUAUCAUUUUAUUCAUUUAUUUAUUUGUCUAUUUUUAUCAAAAUUCAGAUUUCCAAAUUAAGUUUCCAAUUUCCAAAAUUCCAUUUUUUUCAUUUACUUAAUCAUCAUUAUUUUCAUUAUUAUCAUUAUUCUAUUUAUUUAUUUCAAAAAUUCCUUCUUCAAAUGAUUCCAAUCUUAUGACUUUCGAAUUUAAUUUCUAAUCUAAAAAAUUUCAAUAUUUAUGUACGUUUUUCCCAAAACCCCAAUUUCCGAACUUAAUUUUCCAAAUUCCAAAAUUCUAAUUUCCUUCAAAUUUACUCUCCAAAAUUCUGAUCAUUAAAUUUAAUUCCCAAGACUCUAACUCCCAAAUAAAUUUCAAAAGUCCAGUUUUCACUCGAACGGUUUUGAUUCCACUCUAGUUUUCAAAUAAUCUUCUUUUUCUUUUGAUUUUAUAUAAGCGUGAAUGCAAUUUUCAUAAUUCCAAAAUAAUGGAAUUUGUGAUAUUAAUUCAUGCAAGAUUAAUCGGGCUUUGGUAGGGGCCCACAUAUGAGUUUUCUCUUCUGAUUGUAAAUUGUUAUGCUUGAUGAGUAUUGUUUGAUCUUUGUCUUGCUCUUUGAUAUGCAUGUGAUGAUUUUAUAUCUGAGCUAACCUUGUUUCCAUGAUAAUGCACUAUUACCUGCUGUCAAGAUACGCUCCCACUCCCGCUUUGCUUACUCUUAUGCGCGAUUCGUUUUAUUAUUUGAUCAUUUCAUUAAUAUCCAUUGACUUCCUUAUCAAUUGCCACACUUCCUUCACCUUAUUUAGUAGAGAUCCGAAUUUAGGGACUUAGAGGGGUGCUGCGGUCCUUAUCAUACCUUCCCGAUAAGUAACCUGACCCCCGAGCCUAAUCCGGUUUUUCACAGACCACCUUUUUCGAAAUAAUGAGUCACACUUAGGGUUUUAUUUCUUAUUUUAUUUACCCUUUAAAAAUAAAACAAAAAUAAGUAGUGACUCCAAGUCCUUUUUUAAUCAAUAAAUCAUUUUUUAAAAAUAAAAAUUGAACUCGCCAUCGAGUGGAAGCGCAUGAGCCGAAAUGCGGGGUCCACACUUACGUAAUCUAACAUUAUUUAUAUUAAAGCUUUUGUUAACGCAACAAACUAGUCUUCAAAUUGAUGAAUGGGGUUUUUUUUUUUUUUUUUUCNNNNNNNNNNNNNNNNNNNNNNNNNNNNNNNNNNNNNNNNNNNNNNNNNNNNNNNNNNNNNNNNNNNNNNNNNNNNNNNNNNNNNNNNNNNNNNNNNNNNNNNNNGGGGUUUUUUUUUUUUUUUUUUCUCAUUCAUACUGUGGACCCCGCAUUUCGGCUCAUGCGUUUCCCACUCGAUGGCAAGCUCGAUUUUUAUUUGAAAUUUUGAUUUUUAUUUGAUAAAGAAAAAUGACUUGGAGUCGCCACUUAUUUUUCUUUUAUUUUUAAAAAGGUAAACAAAAUAAGAAAGAAAAACCCUAAGUGUGACUCCUUAUUUUGGAAAAGGUGAUCUACGAAAUAUCGGAUUGGGUUCGGGGGUCAGGUUACUUAUCGGGAAGGUACGGUAUAAACCGUAGCACCCCUCUAAGUCCCUAGAGUCGGGUCUUUACUAAUACAAUGAAACUGACGUGGCAAUCAACGAGAAAGUCAAUGGAUACACACCUAAAUUAUACACAAUAUGGGAAUCAAAACACGCAAUAGAGAUUGACUAGAAUGAGAGUGGAUGCGUACCUCGACCACAAGCCACAAUGCGCUAUCAAGAAACGGGAUUAGUGCACAAUUAAGGAACACAAAAAAUAGCUCAUGCAUAUCGGAGUGCAAAACGAAGCUCAAGCAAAAUACAUUAAGAGCCCGUUUGGCAGUGAUUUUUAAAAGUGUUUCUACCCUUAAAAACACUUUUAAGUGUUUUUGGGAUGAAAAUAAAGUGUUUGGCAAAUUUUAAAAAACACUUUUGAAAAUCUGGAAAAACACUUGAAGUGAUUUUUAGAGAAUCACUUGAUAGGUGUUUUUUUAAAAAAAACACUUCAAUUUUUUUGAAAUAUUCCAAAAAUGCCCCCCAGUGAUAAAUCAAUUAGAAAAAUCUUUUUUUUUUUUCCAGAAAUUAAUAGGUGGUCAUAUAUUGUUUUACUUUUAAAAUUAUCUUUUAUUCAAUGUUCUUUUUUUUUUUUUAUUGAUUUAGAUGUUUUUUGUAAAUAUUUUUUAAAAUUUUAGUAUAGUGAUAAAAAAAUUAUUAUUUUUAAUUAGAAAAGUCUUUUUUUUUUUUUAGAAAUUAAUAGGUAAUCAUAUAUUGUUUUAAUUUUAAAAUUAUCUUUUAUUCAAUGUUAUUUUUUUAGUGAUUUAGAUGUUUUUUCAUUAAUAAAAAGUUUUUUUUGUUUAUCAUACCAUUUUUUUUUAAUUAAAAUUGUAUGUCCUUUUUGGUAAUUUAUUAAUAUUAAAAGUGUUUUUAUAUUUAUACAAUAUAUUAUCAAAAACACUUUAGAAUCAUUUUUUCUGAUUAUCAUAAAAGUGUUUUUCACAGAAACACUAUAACAGAAAACACUUCAAAUAAAAACACUUCCACUAGAAUCACUACCAAACGGGCUCUAAGUACGACAAUUGACAAUAAAAAAAGGAUCACACAUAGGGCCCCCACCAAAGCCCAAUUUAUUACUCAUGAACUAGUCUCACAAAUUCCGUGUUUUAGAAUUAUGAAGAAUUUAUUAUUGUUUAUGUAGAAUCAAGAAGAUCAGAAGAUUAUUUAAGAACCGGAAUAGAAUUAAAACUAUUCAAGUGAAAACUGGAUUUUUGGAAUUUACUUGAAAAUUGGAGUAUUGGGAAUUGAAUUUAAAAUAUUAGAGCUUCGGUAAUUAAAAUGAAAUUUGCCAAAGAAGAUGAGAAAUGAACUUUAGGAAAUUGAUUUGCGAGAAUAUGGGUUUUGAAAGUUGAAUUUGUAAUAAUAAUAAUAAUAAGGAGUGAACUUUAGGAAAUUGAACUGCGAGAAUAUAGAUUUUUAAUAAUAAUAAUAAUAAAAAAAAAUAAACUUUAGGAAAUUAAAUUGCGAAGAUAUAGAUUUUUAUUAAUAAGUAUAAUAAUAAUGAUAAUAAUAAUAUUAGGAAAUUGAACUGAGCGAGAGUAUAGAUUUUUAAUAAUAAUGCUAAUAAUAAUGCUAAUAAUAAUAAUAAUAAUAAUAAUAAUAAUAAUAAUAACCAUAAUAAUGAUAAUAAUAACAAUGAGGUUUUGGAAUAAUAAUAAUAAUGAUAACAAGAUUUUGAAAGUUGAAUUAAUAAUAAUAAUAAGAAUAAUAUUUUAAAAGUUGAAUUAAGAAUAAUAAUAACAAUAAUAUUUUAAAAGUUGAAUUAAUAAUAAUAAUAAGAUUUUAAAAGUUGAAUUAAUAAUAAUAAUAAUAAUAAUAAUAAUAAUAAUAAUCAUAAUAAUAAUAAGAAUAAUAAGAUUUUUAAAUAAUAAUAAUAAUAAGGUUUUGAAAGUUGAAUUAAUAAUAAUAAUAAUAAUAAUAUUUUAAACGUCGGAUUAAUAAUAAUAAUAAUAAUAAGAUUUUAAAAGUUGAAUUAAUAAUAAUAAUAAUCAUAAUAAUAAUAAUAAUAAUAAUAAGAUUUUGAAAUAAUAAUAAUAAUAAUAAGGUUUUGAAAGUUGAAUUAAUAAUAAUAAUGAUAUUUUAAAAGUUGAAUUAAUAAUAAUAAUAAUAAUAAUAAUAAUAAUAAUAUUUUAAACGUCGGAUUAAUAAUAAUAAUAAUAAUAUGGACUUCAAAAAAAUGGGCCUUAAUAAUGAUAAUAAUAGGCCUUGGACCUCAAAAAAAGGGCCUUGGGAAUGAAUAGUACAGGGGGCAUGAGGCCCUUCAUUAACGCGACUAGGCUUGGGCUUCCCCACCAGGCCCAUAUCCAUCAUCUUGGACAGGCCCCAAGCUCUAACUCCAUCACAUGCUUGGAUUGGGCCCCAACUCAAGCCCAAAUUAAAAGCAAACCCAAGAACACCAAAUUCUCUCACAGCCCACAUCUCCAACCUCCGCCUGGGCAUCACCAUCUAAAUACUCUGUGUCCUCGAGCUCACCGUCAACCUCAUCGCCUUCUUCAUCGGAACCCCACAUCUCAUCAUCCUCUUUCAAGGUUCGCCGCCCACGCGCACUCACACGCGCUUGCUCUGGUUGCCGAAGCCAAGGGUUGAACCAGUCUUGGACAGCCGCAAUAACGUCAGUGCGCGGGCAUCUGCUCAGUUCUCAUGUUAGACGAAGGAGAUGGGCCUUCCGAUCAGGGUUGAGGAGAAAAAGGGAGGAAGCGAUCCUGCUCGUUGGAGCAAUGCGCCAGGUGACCAUGGAGAUCGGUGGAGAAGUUACUCCUAGCCUCUGAGACGAGCAAUGGAGGAGGAGAAGCUCCACUGCCGCCAUUGAUUCAGCUGACUGGGCAAGCUUGAGGAGGCGGGUAUGAAGGAUGGCGGCCAUACAUGGCUAUGCGUGGCCACGUGAGAACGAGAGGAAUGAGUGCAAUGGACAAGGAAAAUGGGUUUGGAUAAGUUUAGAGAUAUGAUAUGCAUGGGCUGCUAGAGAGGAAUAUGAUGGAUGAACAUGGAGUAUACUAUGGAUGGGAAGGUAGGGAUGACUAUGCGCAUGGAGCUCCAUGCACACGAGAAGACAGAGAAUCAAAGGGUUAGUAUAGAUAGCAUGGGAUCUCAGACUUCAAUGUCUUCAAUAUUGCGUUCUCUGCAUCACUCCAAACAUGACGCUGGCUUUCAGGAUGGAGGCAAACAGAGCAAAGGAAAAAAAAAGCAAAACCAAGCAUGGAUAAUCGAAACAAAUGGAACCCAUAACAGCCUCAUGUUGUGCAUUAAUCCCUGGGCUUAGAUGGAGGUGGGUGAAAAUAAAGGAUCAUCAAACAAAACCAGAGCAUGGUUGCAGAUAUAUUAUGGGGAAAAACAAAGACGAAAUCACCUUAAGCAAGAACCAUUAAGAAGGGAUAUAUGGAUAUGCUUACCCUCAACACACAAACAUCACCCAAGAAUGGACAGAGAAAGAGAAGAGAACCAUACCUGUGAGUGAUCUUCUCUAACAAGAUCGAGCCAAAAACUCAGCAAAGCAUCCCUCUUUUCCCUUGCUUAGCUUUCCACCAUUCUCUCCUUUUCUUCCUUUCACUAUCUCCCAUCUCUCCCUCUUGUCCCGUCUUUUCCUCUCUGGCCCCCCACUUACUCCUCCUGCCACAGCCCCAAAGAAAAGAUAUAUUUAUUAUUAUUUUUUCUUUGCUGGCAGCUUCUCCUCCGAGCUAUCUCUCGCCGCCACCAGCAGCUCGCCUCAUCCCAUCCCAUGGCCGCCCGUUUCCCAGGUGGUCAGUAUAUAUAUAUAUAUAUAAACAAUCAGAUGUCUCUCAUGGGGGGUCUACACAUACUUUUAUUCAUUCAUGUAUAGAGUAUAUAUGAAGGAUAAUCACCAUUCUAAGAAUGGGAAAGAAUGAUACAAGGAAGGAAUGAUAUAAGGAAAUAAUGAUACAAGGAAAGGAAUAAUAUAAGGAAAUAAUGAUACAAGGAAAGCAUUCCUAAUAUCUCAACACUCCCCUCUUAAGGAAAAAAUGAUACAAGGAAAGUAUUCCUAAUAUCUCAACACUCCCCCUCAAGUUGGUGCAUAGAUGUCACACAUGCCCAACUUGUUUAAAAAUUUUGAGAACACUUGUCUUGAGAUAGCUUUGGUGAGGAUAUCAGCCAAUUGAUCUUCUGAUUUAAUCUUAGGCAAUUCCACAAUCUUAUCAUCCAACUUCUCCUUAAUGAAGAAUCUAUCCACCUCGACAUGCUUUGUAUGAUCAUGUUGUACUGGAUUAUGUGCAAUGUCACAUGCAACAUUAUUGUCAGAAAACAAUCGGAUUGGUUGCCUAGAUAGGUAACCUAAAUCCUGUAAGAGGAGUCUUAGCCAUAAUGCCUCACAAAGUCCUAAAGCCAUACCCCUAAAUUCUGCUUCUGCACUUGAAUGAGCAACGACAUUAUGCUUCUUACUUUCCAUGUCACAAGAUUACCACCUACAAAGAUAAAGUAACCAGAUGUAGACCGCAUAGCAUCCACUGUACCGACCCAAUCAGCAUCAGUAUAUACUUCUAUACUCUGAUGAUCAACAUUUUUAGCGAACAAAAUUCCCUUCCCAAGAGCAUUCUUCAAAUACCUCAAAAUACAUAUGAUUGCAUUCAUAUGUUGUUCUCCAGGAUUAUGCAUGUAUUGACUCACUAUACUCAGUGCAUAAGCAAGAUCUGGUCUGGUAUGAGCUAAGUACAUUAAUCUCCUUACAAGUCUUUGGUAUCUUCCUUUAUCGGUUGAUACUUGAUUAGGCUCAACACACAAUUUCAGACCUUUUUCUAUUGGUGUAUCCAAGGAUAGAAAUAUCGGUAAAUACGGAUAUAUCGGUACUUGGAUUUUACGGAUAUAUCGGAAAUAUCGGUGGAUUUUUCAUCAAAUAUCGGUGAGACAAAAAUUAUCCAAAAUUGAUGGGAAUGCUUAGAAAAAUCCAAAGAAUGAUAAAAUAAGCAAGAAUAUACAUGUUAAAGUUAUUUUAUAACUGUAAUUGACAUAAAUAUGGUCAAAGAAAAAAAUAUCGGUAAAUAGUUUACGAUACUUGGAUUUUAAGAAUAGAAAAUAUGAAAUUUGGAAUUGUACACUUAGAAAGUUAGAAUUGAGUUAAGAAAUAUUUGAUUUUAUUAAAUGAAAACAAUUUACACAUAAACAUAAUACAUAUGACAUUGCAAUGGUCCUUAAUACCAAAAUGAAGAUCGAUGUGGUUCCAUCAUAUUGUUAUUGUUAGAUGAAGGGAGCCCAUCUUGUUGAAGACAAUAUUCAUACCAGGACAUGGAGUUUCGAUAGUAUUGAUUGUAUGUACGAACAUGCCAUGCAUAAAUUUCUUGAGUCUACCAACAACUUGUCCAUGGAUAGGAAAUCCAAGGUUUUCCCAUGUGCUCGUUUGAAAUCCUUGUUGUUGCAACUGAUGUGGAAGGUAGUAUGGCAUUUGUGUGGAAGAAGGAUAGUUAUACCUUUCAUACUCUUCAUCAGUGGAACUUGAAAGAUUUUGAGGAGGCUGACCAUAACUCAUUGCAUAAGGGGCAUAAAUGUUGGCUUCGUUUGAUGAAUCACUGAAUUGAGUCUCUACACUCAUCGACUCAAAACUGGCCGACAAUGAGUCCUCGUUGUACAACAUCAUCCUUCGUUGUCUUCCUCUAUAUGGCUUUCCAAUGGCUCCAACACCUGGACCGGCUCUUCUAGAGCCGUGGUCUUCAUCUUGAGUACAAUGUGUGAAAUCAUCUUCACAAGUAAAUGCCAAUGGUUGUCCACUUUGUUGUUGUUGUCUAACAUCCCCUUCAUCAUUUCCAAGGUCGCUACCAUCAUUGGUCCCCUCUUCUCUUGAACCAUCAUAACCGGAAGCGGAGGCGAAAGUACCAGUAGCACUAGGUCUACUACUAUGUUCAACACUCGUGGAGUCAAAAGAAGGUCGAGAAGUGACUGCCGGCUGAGAAAUUCCUUGUCAAAAUGAAUAUCUCGUGUCUUGGCUGAAACUAUCAGUAUGAACUUCUUCGGAUAACACUCAAUCAACAUCAACACCUGCUUCUCGGACAUGUGCGGCAAUUCGUGGGUCGGGAUUUCCAUCUUCAUCAUCUAAAUGAAGAGGUCUAACCCAUUGAAACAAUUGGUUAUCUUCUUCUUCACCAACCUCAGUUGCAAUGUCAAGUAAAUCGAGGUAAUCUUUCUCUGCAACUUUGUCAUGUUCUGCUUCCAUGUCACGUAUCUUUAGUUUCAUGUUAUAAUAAUAGAAAACUAAUUGUUGGAGCAUCGGGUAAGCAAGCCGAUUUCUUUGUUUUGUAUGAAUUAAGGCAAACGUGCUCCAAUUUCUCUCACAAGCUGAAGAUGAUGCAGUUUGCGAUAAAGCCUUGAUGGCCAACCUUCUUAAUGUAGGAGUGUGAUUUCCAUACAUGAACCACCAUUCAGCUACAACCAAAUAAAUGAUAUCAAUACUUAUAUUGGAAAGUUACAAUAAUAUGCUAAUGAAAUGAAUUAUUAAUUCACAAAUAAUACUCACCGGGAACCAUUUCUGACCUCGAAGCAAUCGCUGCUCGAUCACCGAAUCCUCUUUUUGCAUCUCGAAAUAGUAUAAUCUACAUAUUAAAUAAUUGAAAGUGAAAAAGUUGAGUAAAUGAAAUUCAAUUAUUUAAUUUAUAUUAUAACUCUAAUAAUUUACCUCAUUUCCAAAUUGACUAAGACCUUCUGAUGUAGGAUCUAAUUUCGCAAAGACUUCAUGAACAGCUUGAAGUAGAUCAGGAUCAGUACCAACUCCACGUUUAUAUUGAAAUCUUGGAUUAAGAAAGAAUGCUACAAUAGUAAAGUAGAAAUGUAAAAUUAGAAUGUUAUGAAAGAAACAUAUUAAAUACCUAUAAAUUUCAAAGAUGAAUAAUACUUACCUGCUGCAUGAAGAGGAUGUUUAAGAGUUCUAUCCCAACGAUCUGCAAUUAUUUCUAACACCCAUUCUUUAGCAUUAAGUCGAAUGAGGUUCUCUUUCAUAACUCGAAUCAAUUCAUACACAAAUGGCAUUGUAGGAACAACUUCUGAAUCGACAAUGCGAAGAACUGUGUAUAACGCCUCAUAUAUUGACACUCACUUUCCCACUCUUUCCCAGUACGCAUGGUCAAACAUAAGUGAUUCAACUUCUUUGCCGAUUAAUGUGCGACUUAAGUUGUGUUGUGCCCAUUCAUCACUGAUAAACACUUUCUUCAAGUUUGCUUUCUUUUUCAAAAGACUGUCGAGGGCUAUAUAAUUGGUUGCAAAUAUUGUUGCUCCAGGACGAACUAUGUCUCCACCACACACCUUCCGCAUCUGUGCAAGCAACCAACCAUGGUUAUAAAUGAAGUUGGUUAUCUUUCGAGCCUUUGUAAUCACAUCUGCAACACUCGUCCUUUUACCGAUGUCUUCGAACAUUAAGUCGAUGCAAUGUGCUGCACACGGAGUCCAAUAAAGAUUGUAUUUUUUCAUUAACAACUUCCCCGCCUUCACAAAUGCCGACCCAUUAUCUGUAACUAUUUGGACCACAUUUUGUUUGCCAACUUCCUUGAUUACAUCCUUCAACAAACCAUAUAUGUAUUUGUUGUCCUUUAUAUUAUUUGAUGCAUCAACAGAUUUGAGGAAGAUUGUGCUACCUUUUGAAUAUACCAUGAAAUUAAUUAUGCUUAAUUUCGUGGGUCCAGUCCAUCCGUCAGACAUAAUCGUGCAUCCAUAAGUCUUCCACUUUUCUCUUUGAAUAUUGACAUAAGCUUCCAUGUCUUUGUACUCCAUAUCCAAAUACUCGUGUUUGAUUUCAUAAGGAGGCGGUGGUUCUAUACCCAUACCUACCAUCCAUAUAUAAUUAAAACAUAUAAGAACAUUUGUGGCAAUCAUACUAUAUAAAUAGUAAUGAUAUUGUUAAAAUGAAUACAACUUUUAAAAUUAUAGUAAUUACCUGCUUGUUGUGCACCAAUAAUCAUGUUCUUGAAGUGGUGAGAGUCUGCUUUAUUGGGCGGAACACUCUCAUAUAUGAAGAACUUACUGAUCAAAAGUCCCAUGGUUUCCUUGAUGGCACCACAUUUGAAAAGAUUUUUCAUAGUUUUCUGUCUUGCCGCUGAAGAUUUGUACAAUGAGGGUGCAUCAGGCAGUGAUGGAUCUGAAUAUCGAACACUUUGCGAUUUUCGCAUUUGCCUUGUUGUUGGAUUGGUUGGAUGUGAAGACUCGCCUAUUAUAAUUAUUAAAAUUAAACAUAUAUGCUAAUUUAAUAUUAUUGAUAAAGUUGAUAAGAAAUAGUAAUAAUUCAAAUUAAUAUUAUACUUGUUUUUCUUUUGCUUUUUAUAAAAUGUUCUUCUUGUUGUCGAUUCCAUUCAGCAGCUUUUGAUGCUUGAACCGCCUCUCUAUAAGCAUGUCGCUCAUCAGGGUGCAUGUCAGCCGGAUACAUAUACACAUCAUCAUCUCCAUCAUCAUCAUCACCACCAAGGUUCUCCUCAUCGUCCUCAUCAAUUACAUGUCUAUGUCUUCUUCCCAUUGUGUCUCGCAGUUCUGAUCGAAUCUCUUCUAUAUCUGCAGCUUUCUUCGCUUUUGCCUUAUUUUUUUGCUCUAGAAGUCGUCUUAUUUCUUGUUUCACUUCUGGAGGCACGUUAAGACACUUUUUUGUAUUUGAAUUAGGGUCUGUAUGUGAUAGGUGAAAUUUAAAACAAGUAAUCCCACCACUCUUUAUUGCCAACCCACAGUAAUUGCAUAUUGUUCCAUUUUUGUUCCCUUCCAUAGGUGUACAAUAUUUCCAACAAGGAUCUCGACCCAUGAUACCACUUUCACUAGCCAUUUUCUAAAAUUGAAUUAUGAAACUAAUAUCAAAUUUAAAAUUAUUAAAGAUAAAACAUGUAUGAAAUUUAAUAUUCAUGAAAUUGAUAAGAACUAAUAAAAAUUGAAAUUAAAAUUGAAUUAUGCACAUAUGAAAUAGAUAAACAUUACAAUAAAAUUUCAAUAUGAAUUAAAUUUAAAUUAAAUUAAAUUUGCAUAUUCAUGAAAUUGAUAAGAAUCAUUACUAAUAAAAAUUAAAAUUAAAAUUGAAUUAUGCAUAUAUGAAAUAGAUAAACAUUACAAUAAAAUUUUGAUAAGAAUUAAAUUAAAUUAAAUUAAAUUAAAUUUGCAUAUUCAUGAAAUUGAUAAGAAUCAUUACUAAUAAAAAUUAAAAUUGAAUUAUGCAUAUAUGAAAUAGAUAAACAUUACAAUUACAUUUCCAUAUGAAUUAGAUAAUAUCAAUUAAACUAUAUAUAACAAAUAAAAUUGAAUUAUACAUAAUAAAAUAAAUUUUAUGGAAGGUAAGACAUACCUUAAUUAGCCUUGACUUGGAGUUAAUCCCCUUCACCACCAAAUUUUCAAAAUAAAAAAAUUUUGCUAGAUCAUAUAAGAAUUUUGAUGUAUGAAAUGGAAUGGAAUGUGGGUAUUUAUAGGAAUUUUUUGGUCAAACUAGCCAUUGGAUGGUCAAAUAGUCGUUAUAAAUUAAUUUUAACCGUUGGAUCAAAAUUUGGUUCAAAUUUCACCAUUAGAUUUUCAUAUAACCGUUGGAAACACUCCAUAGCCCUUGGAUAAAGUGAAGAUUGAUUUUCCACCAUUGGAUCACAAAUCUGACCGUUGGAGGCCUUUACAAAUACACGGGUGAAAUCUGGGCCAUCAGAUCCUCAAAAAUUCAAAAUUGGCCAUCAGAUCAAAAUCAUUGGAGCUGGGAAAAAUCGGCGAUUUUCUCGGUAAAAAAUCGGCGAUAUAUCGGUAAAAUCGUCGAUUAAUCGCUGAUUUUUUCAACUCCUCUGGCAGCUUCUCCGCGCGUGCCUCCACUCUUCGAUUUUUUGCCGAUUUAUCGGUGCUUCACCGAUAUUUCGCCAAUAUAUCGGCGAUUUUGCCAAUUUUUGGCCGAUUUUUCCAUCGAUCGAUAAUCGGUGACGAUUAUUGUUUCAGUGCCGCCCGAUAUCCGAUAUUUAUUCGAAAUAUCAACGAUAUAUCCCGAUUUUUCAAUCCCUGGGUGUAUCAACAAGUUGACAUCCCGACAUUCCAGUCUCCUAUAAAAGAUUUAAGGCAUACUUUCUUUGAGACAGAAAAAUUCAUUCACUUGAUUGAGAAACUUCAAUCCCAAGAAAGUAUUUCGGAGGACCUAGAUCUUUCAUUUCGAAUUCUCUAGAUAGAUAAUUCUGUAGAGCUUUUCUUUCUUCAGGAUCAUUUCCUGUAACUACCAUGUCAUCCACAUAUACGAUGAGUGUCGUAAUCUUACCAUGUUGCUUUUUCAGGAACAAAGUGUGAUUUGAAUUACUUUGAUGAUAGCUAAAAGCUCUCAUUGACUUUGUGAACCUUCCAAACCAUGCUCUCGGGGAUUGCUUCAACCCAUACAAUGAUUUCUUCAAUUUGCACACCUUCUGACAUUGCUUUUCUGACCCCAUGCAUCCUGAUGGAAGAUCCAUAUAUACUUCUUCAGAUAACUCGCCAUGUAGAAAGACAUUUUUUACAUCGAAUUGUUGUAAUGGUCAAUCCAGGUUUGCAGCUAAAAACAGUAAUACUCGAACUGUAUUGAUCUUAGCUACAGGUGCAAAUGUCUCUGUAUAGUCAAUUCCAUAAGUUUGAGUGUACCCUUUUGCUACCAAUCUUGCUUUAAAACGUUCAAUACUACCAUCUGCCUUGUACUUCACAGUAUAGAUCCAACAACACCCAACUGGCUUCUUUCCUGGUGGACAUUCUACGAGUUCCCAUGUUUCAUUCUUCUAUAAUGAUUUCAUAUCUUCAUUCAUGACUGCUUUCCACCUUGGAUUAGCUAAGGCUUCCUGCACACUGUUAGGAAUAGUUACAAUAGAUAAUUGAUUUACAAAUGACUUAUUUGAUUCAGACAAACAAUGGUUAGAUACAUAGUUGCUCAUGGGAUAUUUGACAUUGGUAGACAAUUUAGGUUCAUAUGUGGGUUUAGGAAUAUCUCUAUUAUGACGGUGUGGAAACCGUUUUGUGAAUGGAUUAGGUUCCAAAUUAAGAACACCCUCAACAGACGACGAUUGGUUUGGUAUUUCAGUGAAGGCAUCUUUAGACCCAAAUUGCUCGGAUGGUUCAAUUGUACUGUCUCUCCCCUCUUUUAUCACUUCUUCAGCUUCUGGGUGGUCAUUACUACCUGGUUCACCCGCUUCUUUAUUCACUAGUUUAGAUUGUCCAUAUUCAUCCUCCUUAGAGAUAUCAUAAUCGAGAGUCUGAAUUUCCUUAUAGUACUCCCCUUGAAGUUCAGACUCAAAUGAAAAAUACAUUGAAUCUUCAUGAAACACCACAUCCAUUGUAAUAAACAUUCGUCGAGUUGGAGGAUGAUAACAUCGAUAUCCCUUUUUGUGCAAUGCAUAUCCAACAAACACAUAUUGCAAUGCACGGGAAGUUAACUUGGUGCGUUGGUGUUUGUGUAGAUGCACAAAUGCCAUGCAACCAAAAACACGAGGAGGUAGAUUUGGGAUGGUUGGGGCAACUACAACAUUAGUAAGAGCUUGGAGAGGUGUUUGGAAGUCAAUUGAACUGGAAGGUACCCGAUUGAUCAAGUAUGUAGCAGAUAUGAUUGCUUCUCCCCAAUAAGAUAUCGACAUUUUUGCUGCUAUCAAGGAAGCAUGAACAACCUCUAACAAGUGCCGAUUUUUUCGUUCAACGACUCCAUUUUUCUGGGGUGUAUUGGAACAAGUAGUCUGAUGAAUGAUGUCAUGUCCUUCCAAAUACUUUUGAAGAUCAGAAUUAUGAUAUUCUCCACCAUAUCGCUACGCAGAACCCGAACCUUUGCAUUGUAUUGAGUUUCAAUCAUUUUAUGAAAAUUUUGAAACAACAAGUUCACUUCAUCUUUGGUCUUCAUCAAGCAUAACCAGGUCAUUCUGGUACAAUCAUCAAUAAAAGUAACAAACCAACGCGAGCCUCUCAAAGUUGGGACUUUGGAUGGGCCCCAAACAUCAUAAUGUAUAACCAUAAAAGGAAGCGGACUUUUAUUCAAAAUUAACGGAAACGAAGUACGAUGACUUUUAGCCAAUUCAAAAAUAUCUCAACGAAAACCAGAAAUAUCACUCAUUGCAAACAAAUUAGGAAACAAUUUUUUAAAAUAGCCAAAGGAAGCAUGUCCCAAGCGUCGAUGGCACAACCAAAUUUCAGACUUUUUCUCCUCCCCCUCAAAUCCAUCUAUCAUCAAGGCUUGUCGUAAUUUAUUGGAAUCCUUUGACUGCAAGUCCAAGUAAUAGAGUUUUUCCACUUAAUACCACAACCAAUCGUCUGUCUUGUUUGGAUGUCCUUAAAAACACAAAAUUCAGGCCAAAAAAUGACAAUACAAGAUAAUGCUGCAGUGAUUUGAGAAAUUGACAAAAAAUUGUAAUCUAAAGAUGGAACAACUAAAAUAGAAUCCAAAUUCAAAGUAUCAGUAAGAGUUAAGGAUCCUUCCCCAAUGACUGGGGUUGUGUUACCAUUGGCUGUGGAAAUAAUUUUUUGUGAGGAAGGUAUAAGGGGUGAGACCUGUCUAGAAUCAAAAGUCAUAUGAUCUGUAGCACCAGAAUUAAUUAUCCAUGCACUAUUAAUAACAGGUGUAGAAGUAUUCAAAAACUUACCAUCAUAAUCUAUAUUGGCUACCAAUGCAGAGACAUUCUCAGUAACAUUAGCCUCUGUUUUUAUUUCGGCAAUAGCUGCAGUCGAGGUUUUCUUGGAAUUCUUCUUCCGUUGAUCACGAUUAUGAUCCCACCAGUCUGGAUAUCCCACAAUUUCAAAGCAACAACUCUUGGUAUGACCAGUCUUAUUGCAGUGAGUGCAUUUGAAGGUUGACUUAUCAAUAUUAGGGCCCGUCUUAGGAUGGUUGGUCUUGGAUUGGUCCUGCCAAUUCUGGGUUGAUCGCUGUCGGACUACCAUAGAUGAGGUGUCAGGAUUGUCAUAUUAUGUUUUCAUACUAGCAUGACGCACUGCCUCUCGUCGAAUCAGUGCAUAGCAUUCUUCCAAAUUGGGAAGAAGAUCUUUGCGUAGAAUCUCUCCUCGAACUUGCUCAAAGUCACCAUCCAAUCCAGCAAGAAAGAUGUGCACCCAUUGUUGUUCAAUGGAUUUCCGAUAUGUUGUAAUGUCAUCAGGGUCUUUCAUGACCACCUUAUCCCGAUGAUCCAAUUCGCAAAAAAUCUCAGUUAACUCUCCGUAAUAUUCAGAAAGAGACCUGCCGCUUUGUUUGGAAGUGAAUACUUUUUUUAUUCAAAGUGAAAACUUGUAAUUCAUCGCUUCCAUCAUAGAAGACAUUUGAUAAUGCACUCCAAAUUUCUUGAGCGGUGGGUAAGCGUAAGUAACACUUCAUAAUUUCUUGACUCAUGGACAUUAACAACCAUUUCUUCACCUUUUGAUUCUCAGCAUACCAUUUUUCAUAUCUAUCUUCUGACUCUUUUGGUGGAUUUGUUUUACCUCGAAUGUAGGAAAGUUUUUCCCGUUCAACAAUAUGCAUCUUCAUAAGUUGUGACCAAACGUCAUAGUUUGAUUCAAUCAAAAUAAUUCCUAGAUUAAAAGUACCUUCAGAUUGAAAAAUAAUAGUAUUUUUUUCACUUUUUUUUUUUUUUUGAUGAUUAAAUAUAAUAUAUAUUCAACUGGUGAUGUAGGAAGAAAGUGACAAAAAAUAGGGGACCCUAAAUAGAAAGAAAGAUUUUUCAAGAAAAUCAAAUAAUAGAGAAAAAAAUAGUAGAAGACACUGAAAGUACAAAUAAGCAUGCCAGGUUGUAGGACAAUGUCAGUUUUCCGGCAACUGUCCAAGAUUUCAGUUCCAUGGCUUUGAUACCAUCUUCAAAUUAAUGAAUGAGGUUUUUUUUUUUCUCAUUCAUAUUUUUAUUCAUUCAUGUACAGAGUAUAUAUAAAGGGUAAUCAUCAUUCUAAGAAUGGGAAAAAAUGAUACAAGGAAUGAAUGAUAUAAGGAAACAAUGAUACAAGGAAAGGAAUGACAUAAGGAAAGAAUGAUACAAGGAAAGUAUUCCUAAUAUCUCAACAACUGGUAUAUCACUUUUGACGAUAAAAGGAAUUUUAGUUAAAAGUGAGGUUAAUUGCUCUAUUGUAAUGAUAUGAUAUAAAAUGUCUCUUUGAUGGAAAAAAUUGAAAAUUGAGUUCAUAGAAUUUAGUCUGAAAAUUAUUGAAAAAUGUCUCAAAUUCUUAAUUAAUAAAAAUUUAUUUUUACACAGAAUAUUAUAUAAAAUAUUUUCUAAAUUAAUACAUCAUUGUAAUAUUAUAUUAUUUUAUAGAAUAAACAAAGUUAUUAGAAAUAUCUUAAUAAAUAUUUUAGGUUAAGAAAAGAAAAAGUUAAUAAGAUAAAUAUGAGCUUUUAGAGACUACACAUUGUUUUAUCUUAGUAUCGGAAGGCCAGGUUGCGGAGAAGUUGAACAUGGAUAAAGCAUAUGGGCUGGCCUUACAAUGAGCCGCCCCACUAAUGGUGCACCCACAGCCGAGGCUGUCACCCCAAGGUUUCGGGAAGUAAAUGAGGUUGUUUUCCCAUGAUUAAAACAGAAAACUUGAUGAUGGAUUUGGCUGAAUAAUUAUGACGUUGGAGAGCGAUGGAGUGUAGUAGUUUCGUGAUGGGUUUUCCCUCAGCCACGUGGACGUUAAUAUUGUAAACGUUGACUCUGAAGGAGCUAUCUAAUAAUGCAAUAUGUCGGAUUAAAAAUUAAAUUAUUUACCCCACAAUAUGAAUGUCGAGCGUAGGAGAAGAAAGUCAUAUGAUGAAUAUGAAGGCAUCACAAUCUAAAGAGUCGUGCAAUGCGGCGAGUGAAUAUGACCAAUAAAAGCACGAAAACUGAACGGGAGUCGCUUCAUCUGUCCUGCAUUCAUUUACAUUCUUUGCCCCAUUGGUUAAGAAUCCGUCCUGUUCUAGGAAAAUUUUUCCCAUCAUUUCGAAUGUCUUCCCAUUUAAAUAUGAAAUUUUGAAUGGUCGUGUAUGAUUUUUUUCUUACUAGCCAUUAUUUUGAGAAUAAUACAAGUUUGACCAACACAACUAUGUCUUUUUUCCUCAUAAUAAAUUUCCAAUCUUGAUUCAUUAUAAUUUUUUAAUGAAAUAAUUCAAAAAAACUACAUACAAGUUGUUAUACAUCUUGCUCAUGUGUGUAAAAGGAAAGAGAUACAUCCUUGUUUUUCAACUAUUAAAAUGAUAUCCUUGGGCCAAUUCUUUCAUUACGUCUGAAUAUUUUGGGAGAAUUGUGGAACCAUUUUGAGACAGUGAAUUUAAAUAGCAUUUUUAAUAUUUUAAAAAAUUAUUAUUAAAAACGUUUUUUAAUAUCCAUUUUUUCAACAUCAGGACCAAGAACGCAAAAUAAAAUAUAAUUUUCCCUACUUGCUACCAAAGAUUUUGGUUGAUUAUUUUUCUGAUAAUAAAUAAUAUUUUAUUUUGCGUUCUUGGUCAAAAAAUGGAUAUUAAAAUAUAUAUAAUUUUUCAGCUACAACAGCGCGCACGGAGCACGCUCUUAGUUAGAACACACUUGUACCCGUCAUCUUUGAUUUAGCUAACCCCGAAUCUCCCUUUAUAUUCCUCUCUGGAUUCAGGAGCCGAGACUCAGAGAUAAGCCAAGAAGCCAUGAAUCCCCUGGCGCUGAUUUUCUGCACGGCUCUCUUCUGCAUUCUCCUCUACCACUUCCUCACGCGCCGCUCUGUCCGCCUCCCUCCGGGGCCCAAGCCAUGGCCGAUUGUGGGGAACCUCCCUCACCUGGGCCCCGUCCCUCACCACUCCAUUGCUGCGCUCGCUAAAACCUACGGCCCUCUCAUGCAUCUCCGUAUGGGCUUCGUCGACGUCGUGGUGGCCGCCUCCGCCUCCGUUGCCGCUCAGUUCUUGAAAACUCAUGAUGCUAAUUUCUCCAACAGGCCUCCUAAUUCAGGUGCCAAGCAUAUCGCCUACAACUAUCAGGAUCUGGUGUUCGCUCCCUACGGCCCCCGGUGGCGCAUGCUCCGCAAGAUUUGCUCCGUCCACCUCUUCUCUGGCCAAGCCUUGGAUGAUUUUCGCCAUAUCCGACAGGUACCUAGCUUAAUCUCUCUCAGAAAUGAAUCCUUUCUCAAUUUUAAUCCAUUUUUCGUUUUUUCUUCCUGAUCGCUUCUAUUAUUUCAUCGCAAAUUAAGAUCUGGUUACACAGAUUUCAUUUUUCCAUAAAAACAUGUAAGAAAAUAAUAGCAUGUGUUCACCAUCAUUGUCUAGUCCUGUCAGAGUAUUUGCAGUCUCCACUCUCUCUGUAUACACUACACAUCUUUUUGAAGAAGGCCCGGCUCCACAAGUUUAUUAUUACUAUUUUUUUAAUGAUUUUUUUUAGUAAGGUUGUUUUCCUCCGGCAGUGGAAGUCCGUGCAUUCACGCGAGACUUUACCAUUUAAUAUUUAAAAUUAUAUUUUUUUAAUGUUUGUUUUAUAAAAAUACUGAACUGACAAAUGAGUUGCCGCUGAGUUUUAUCCAAUUUUGAUGAUUAGAAAAAUAAUCAGUAGAUGAAAAUUUAUGUGACGUACAGGAGGAGGUUUUGGCGCUAAUGCGCGCACUUGCGAGGGCGGGUCAAACGCCGGUGAAGUUGGGGCAGCUGCUGAACGUGUGCACUACCAACGCCCUAGGGCGGGUGAUGUUAGGCAGGAGAGUGUUCGGCGACGGCAGCGGAGGCGAAGAUCCGAAGGCCGACGAGUUCAAAGAGAUGGUGGUGGAGCUGAUGGUCCUGGCCGGAGUUUUCAACAUCGGCGACUUUGUGCCGGCGCUGGAAUGGCUGGACCUGCAGGGCGUAGCUUCCAAGAUGAAGAAGCUCCAUGCUCGGUUUGACGCUUUCCUGGGCGCCAUCGUGGAGGAGCACAAGAUCAGCGGCUCUGCUGGUUCCGAGCGUCACGUGGACUUACUCAGCACGUUGAUCUCGCUGAAGGAUAAUGCCGACGGUGAGGGAGGCAAGCUCACCGACGUUGAGAUCAAAGCCUUGCUCUUGGUAUCUCUCAUUAUCCAUUUUCUGUCACUGUUUCGUCUACUUCUUGUGGUAAUUUGGCACCUGAAAUUGAUGAAAACCGUCUGUUGACAUGGCAGAACUUGUUCACAGCUGGAACUGACACCUCAUCCAGCACAGUGGAGUGGGCCAUUGCAGAGCUCAUUCGCCACCCUGAAAUGAUGGCCCAAGCCCAACAAGAGCUGGACGCAGUGGUGGGCCGAGGCAGGCUUGUAACUGAUUUGGACCUGCCCAAACUUACCUAUCUCCAAGCCAUAGUCAAGGAAACCUUCCGCCUGCACCCAUCCACGCCCCUCUCCCUCCCUCGGAUGGCGGCGGAGAGCUGUGAGAUCAACGGCUACCACAUCCCCAAAAACGCCACUCUUCUAGUGAACGUGUGGGCCAUAGCGCGGGACCCAGAGGUGUGGGAGGAGCCACUAGAAUUCAGGCCCAACAGGUUCCUCCCAGGAGGGGAAAGACCAAAUGCGGACGUGAGAGGGAAUGAUUUUGAAGUGAUUCCAUUCGGGGCUGGCCGGAGAAUAUGCGCGGGGAUGAGCUUGGGACUGAGGAUGGUGCACCUGUUAACCGCGACGCUUGUUCAUGCGUUCAACUGGGAGUUGCCGGAAGGCCAGGUGGCGGAGAAGCUGAACAUGGAUGAGGCAUAUGGGCUGACCCUACAACGAGCCGCCCCACUCAUGGUGCACCCACGGCCAAGGCUGUCACCCCAAGUUUUCGGGAAGUAAAUGAGGUUGUUUGCCCAUAAUUAAAGUAGAAGACUUGGUGAUGGAUUUGGCUGAAUAAUUAUGAUGUUAGAGAGCGAGUGUAGUAGUUUUGUGAUGGGUUUUCCCUCAACCACCUGCAUGUUAAUACUGUAAACGAUGAUUCUCAAGGGGUAUCUAAUAAUGCAAUAUGUUGG
rnacentral:lncRNA from 1 species